CAAUCCGCUGUUCCUUCACAUGGGUUGUAAAAUUUAAAACUGAAAACAUGUCAUCAUUUGUUUGGAUUGCAUCCAUGGAUUUUGUGGCACUGAGCGCAGAGAAAAGUGAAGCUGUGGGAGUUCAGAUCUAAGACGAGCUUCAGAUUGCAAUGCAGAAUGGGAUGGAAUUGCAAGACACCAUACAGGCUCAAUUUCAUGACAGAGCCUUCAGCCCUUGUGUGUUCAACCUCCAGACUUCUCCGUGUUUGUGAGACAUCUAACGCUGUAAAUAUUUGGGUUCCAUCAGCUGAGAAUGACCACAAGACAUUUAUGAGCGACUACUCGUCGAAAUGUGGCAGAAGAAAAUCGGACAGACGGAUGAAGCCGCAUUUUGUUUUACUUUGCAAAAAUGCAGUUGGAGCCCAUGUGGAUGACCUAAUGUGACAGGAAUUUUUACAGCUGGACUUUCGUGGAAUUCGAAGGACACAUGCAGGAAAGACGCCAGAGUGCUGUACAGUGUAUCAGAGCUCUCGCUAUGCUGUGAGUCUUUCUUCCCUUGGAGGAGCAGAGAGAGAGAGAGAGAGAGAGAGAGAGAGAGAGAGAGAGAGAGAGAGAGAGAGAGAGAGAGAGAGAGAGAGAGAGAGAGAUCUACUGGAAAACCCUGAUGAGUCAACAUCCUGACCUCUGUAUAUUAAAAAACACCUUGCUGAACAGAUCAGCGAUGCAGUCGAAGAGCCAAGCUGUUUAAACACACACACACACACACACACACACACACACACACACACACACACACACACACACACACACACACACACACACACACACACACACACACACACACACACACACACACAGAGACAGACAGAACCUGUCAUGACAGUGCUGUUCCACUUUCUCUGAUGUUUUAGGAAAACACCGAAAAGCACCAGUAAUAAAUUCUGUCAAAAUUCAUACUGUACACAGCCUGAAACUAGAUAUAAUAAGCCUGACUUUUAAAAUGGAAAUCUGUAGAUAUGUCAAAACAUAACACCUCUAUUACGUUCUAUAGUCCUGCUCUUAUUGGUCAGAGGGUUGCUGAUUCAUAUACUAUACACAGCUCUGACAAUAACACCAGCAGUAUCAUUCAAAUCAGGUUUCUAUUCAUGCACUUGUGAUACCUUAUUGUUUCUAUAGUAACAGGUCAUUUAAAAACACUUGUACGGUGGAAGCGUGAUGUGAUUUAUGUAGGAACUAUAAA